rnacentral:rRNA from 1 species
AACGAACGCUGGCGGCGUGCUUAACACAUGCAAGUCGAGCGCGAAAGGGGGGUUCGCCCCCCGAGUAGAGCGGCAGACGGGUGAGUAACGCGUAGACAACCUGCCUCUAAGCUGGGGACAACAACUCGAAAGGGUUGCUAAUACCGAAUGUGAACAGUGCCUCGCAUGAGAUGCUGUUUGAAGGUGGCCUCUGAAUAUGCUACCGCUUAGAGAUGGGUCUGCGUCUGAUUAGCUAGUUGGAGGGGUAAUGGCCCACCAAGGCGAAGAUCAGUAGCCGGUCUGAGAGGAUGAACGGCCACACUGGGACUGAGACACGGCCCAGACUCCUACGGGGGGCAGCAGUGGGGAAUCUUCCGCAAUGGACGAAAGUCUGACGGAGCAACGCCGCGUGAGUGAAGAAGGCCCUCGGGUCGUAAAGCUCUGUCUUCAGGGACGAAUGUGCAGAUUGUGAAUAAUGGUUUGUAAUGACGGUACCUGAGGAGGAAGCCACGGCUAACUACGUGCCAGCAGCCGCGGUAA